rnacentral:rRNA from 1 species
CACCGAGGUGCAAGGGCUGUCGCUGACCUUUGAAGGCCGUGCACGCCCGAGCGCUCUCGCCACAAUCCAUCUCACCCCUUUGUGCAUCACCGCGUGGGUCCCCCUUUGCGGGGAGGGCUCGCGUUUUCACACAAAACUUGAUACAGUCUAGAAUGUUUAUUUUUGCGGUAACACGCAAUCAAUACAACUUUCAACAACGGAUCUCUUGGCUCUCGCAUCGAUGAAGAACGCAGCGAAAUGCGAUACGUAAUGUGAAUUGCAGAAUUCAGUGAAUCAUCGAAUCUUUGAACGCACCUUGCGCCCCUUGGCAUUCCGAGGGGCACACCCGUUUGAGUGUCGUGAAAUUCUCAAAAUCCUUUUCUUUGAUCGGAAUAGGACUUUUGGACUUGGAGGUUCAAUGCUCGCUUUCGCCUUUGAAAGCGAGCUCCUCUCNAAAUGNAAUCAGUGGGGGUCCGCUUUGCUGGUCCCUUGACGUGAUAAAGAUGCUUCUACGUUUCGGAUUUGGCAUUGUUUUCUCCGGCUCCUAACUGUC